GACGAACGUUGGCGGCGUGCUUAAUACAUGCAAGUCAACUGAAGCAGUGGUAGCAAUAUCGCUGUGGAGGUGGCGCACGGGUGAGUAACACGUAGGUAAUCUGCCUUCAGGUCUGGCAUAACUCCGGGAAACCGGGGCUAAUAGCAGAUGAUGCAGCGGCUCGACAUCGAGACAGUUGUUAAAGCUAUGGCGCCUGAAGAUGAGCCUGCGUCUGAUUAGCUAGUUGGCGGGGUAACGGCCCACCAAGGCAACGAUCAGUAGCUGGUCUGAGAGGAUGAUCAGGCACACUGGAACUGAGACACGGUCCAGACUACUACGGGAGGCAGCAGUAAGGAAUAUUGCUCAAUGGGAGAAAUCCUGAAGCAGCAACGCCGCGUGAGGGACGAAGGGCUUUUGCUUGUAAACCUCUGUAGUGAGAGAAAAAAAUCCCAAUCUUUGGGACAUGAUGGUAUCUAAAAAGUAAGCCCCGGCUAACUACGUG
rnacentral:rRNA from 1 species